UACGAAGGGGGCUAGCGUUGUUCGGAAUUACUGGGCGUAAAGCGCGCGUAGGCGGCUUCGCAAGUCGAGUGUGAAAUCCCCGGGCUCAACCUGGGAACUGCAUUCGAGACUGCGUUGCUAGAGUAUGGGAGAGGGAUGCGGAAUUCCAGGUGUAGCGGUGAAAUGCGUAGAUAUCUGGAGGAACACCGGUGGCGAAGGCGGCAUCCUGGACCAUUACUGACGCUGAGGAGCGAAAGCCAGGGGAGCAAACGGG
rnacentral:rRNA from 1 species